rnacentral:rRNA from 1 species
CACGUAGGGGGCAAGCGUUGUCCGGAUUUAUUGGGCGUAAAGAGCUCGUAGGCUGUUCGAUAAGUCGGGUGUGAAACCUCCAGGCUCAACCUGGAGACGCCACCCGAUACUGUCAUGACUAGAGUCCGGUAGGGGAGCGUGGAAUUCCUGGUGUAGCGGUGAAAUGCGCAGAUAUCAGGAGGAACACCGAUGGCGAAGGCAGGUCUCUGGGCCGAUACUGACGCUGAGGAGCGAAAGCGUGGGGAGCAAACAGG